GAUGAACGCUGGCGGCGUGCCUAAUACAUGCAAGUCGAGCGAACAGACGAGGAUCUUGCUCCUCUGACGUUAGCGGCGGACGUGUGAGUAACACGUGGAUACCCUACCUAUCAGACUGGGAUAACUUCGGGAAACCGGCGCUAAUACCGUAUAAUAUAUUGAACCGCAUGGUUCAAUAGUGAAAGACGGUUUUGCUGUCACUUAUAGAUGGAUCCGCGCCGCAUUAGCUAGUUGGUAAGGUAACGGCUUACCAAGGCAACGAUGCGUAGCCGACCUGAGAGGGUGAUCGGCCACACUGGAACGGAGACACGGUCCAGACGACUACGGGAGGCAGCAGUAGGGAAACUGACGCAAUGGGCGAAAGCAUGACGGAGCAACGCCGCGUGAGUGAUGAAGGUGUUCGGAGCGGAAAAAUCUGUUAUUAGGGAAGAACAAAUGUGGAAGGAAAUAAGCACGGCGUGACGGUACCGAAUCAGAAAGCAACGGCUAACUACGUG
rnacentral:rRNA from 1 species